rnacentral:tRNA from 1 species
GUCAGUGUAGCUCAGUGGCAGAUUGUUUGCCUAGAGUGUAUAAGGCCCUGGGUCCAAUUCCCAGCACAGCUA